CAACAAACAAACAAACUCAUAUUUCUCUUGGACCAUCGAGGAGACAUCGGAGACGAGGCUCAGCUCAAUUCCGUCUGGACUGUGGCCGCAGCCUCAUUGUUUUCAAUCCUUCAAUCCCCGUGAUGCGUCCCCGCUGGAGCACGUGGUGACUUGAACCAGGAGCCAGUGAUAUUUGGGUCACGGCUUGGAUAGAUCCGGCUUAGUGGACUUGCUUUUUGAACGGUAUGACUAUACCUUCCUCUGUGGUCGCAUCUCUGUUCUUAUUUAUAGUAAUGUCAAAGACGCAAAUUCUGGUACGUAUGGAAAUUCGCGGAAGGUUAUAUAUACCAAUGUAUGAGGCUCGUAAUGCGUUUGAUCUAUAUCUAUUCAUUCGAAAAUUGUGAUCCCACGGUCGGCGUUCCGGGAAGCCUCUAUCCGGGCUUGGUCCGUCGUUCGACUCGGGGAUUUUUUUUCGUGAAUUAGUAGAUUGCUCACUGUUGGCGCUCCAGGAAGCCUAUAUAUGGGUUCCAUCCUUCGUUCAACACACAUAAAAUGGCGGGCGUGAGACACGCGUCCACGUCAUUGAUACAGAGUUAGUAAUUUAAAUGCGUAGAAGCAUACAAUAAAAAUAGGAUCAAACAUUGCGGGUAUUUUAUUUCCAGAACUCUUACAUUUACAUAAAAAUUCUGUUAAUUACAUCUCCGAAGAGAAAACCCCUGAUUAAGAAUUCCAACAUAUCUAUUACAUAAGAUUGCAACACAUUCCUAUUACAAUAUGCUACAAGAAAAUUCCUCCUCGCGAUCGUCAAUGCACUCCUGCUUGGGUACUUGAAGUUUGCUUUCAUGCAAGUACUUCUCCAUAAUUUCAUGUUUGAUAUGUUGCAGUAUAUUUUCCUAACAUGU